UGGGGGAUAUUGCACAAUGGGCGAAAGCCUGAUGCAGCAACGCCGCGUGAGGGAAGACGGUCUUCGGAUUGUAAACCUUUAGCUUUGGGGAAGAAACAAAUGACGGUACCCACAGGGGCAGCCCCGGCUAACUACGUGCCAGCAGCCGCGGUAAUACGUAGGUGGCCAGCGUUGUCCGGAAUUACUGGGUGUACAGGGAGCGCAGGCGGGGAGACAAGUCAGCUGUGAAAACUAUGGGCUUAACCCUUAGAUUGCAGGUGAAACUGUUUUUCUUGAGUGGAGUAGAGGUAGGCGGAAUUCCGAGUGUAGCGGUGAAAUGCGUAGAUAUUCGGAGGAACACCAGUGGCGAAGGCGGCCUACUGGGCUCUAACUGACGCUGAGGCUCGAAAGUGUGGGGAGCAAACA
rnacentral:rRNA from 1 species